rnacentral:lncRNA from 1 species
AUGGCGGUGCCCAGAGGGGCCGUGAGGGGCUGCGCAGGGGGCAGCUCCGAGCUGGGCUUCGGGAACCUGCAACCGCGUCCGAGAGGUUUCUCAAAGGGAAGCGAGAGCUAUUGGAGAGGUUCCUCAAAAGUAAUACCAGCUCUCAGUAAAGGUGUGAUUCCUUGCUCACACAAAGCAAGAAGAGCGGCAUUCCUGCCCCCAUCCAGCUUCCUCUUCCAAUCAGCUUUAGUCAUACCAGCGUGGAUGUGUAGUUCAAGAACCAAAAUGUAUGGAAUGUUAUCCUGGGAUCUGUGAAAUGGGUUUUGAUCAGCAGUUUAUAAAAGAAAAAAAAUAAAUGAUGAAUUUGCACAUCUCCAAUAUAUGUCUAUGG